GUGGGAGUGCAGCUAGGUGGCUUUCGAUAUCUCCCCGUGUGUUGCGGCCAUAGGUGGCGAACUUAGCUGGACUCACUUAGCUAGCUUGCCGGCGUUCAUGGGGAAAUUGUUCCACAUACGGGAAGCGCACUCAGCUUGAUCGCUCCAGGAGUAGUAAGAUAACAUAAUAACAUGACUUAAGCGGAGCUGAAAAGCACAUCGAGGAGGC
rnacentral:lncRNA from 1 species